AUUGCAAAGCAACUAAAGAAAGAUAAUUUUAAGCUAAAUUAAAAACUAAUCAGUUUGUCAGGCCUGGGACAAAAAUUUUGGCGAAUUCAAAGGAGCUACUGGGACACCUUGAAAAUGUAGUUUUUUAAAGAAUUUGGUUUUAUUGUGGACUGAUGUUAAUUUAGUUCCUAAUUUUUUUUUAUGCAUAACAAGGCAGGUAUUUGACCACAAUCGCACCUGGUGUUAAGUGGGAUGCAGUCUAGGAUGGUACAUUAUCUGCUCUGUAAGUUUAUUUGUAAAUAUUUGCAGCACCUACACCCGCGCCCCCGCCUCAAUGGAUAAACGACAUGAAGGUGUUCAUCAAGAAUCUGGUGGAGAAAUACGGAAGGAGCAAACUGGACGAGCAUUUGAAGCCCGUUAUAAAAUAUGUGGAAAAGCUACACAACGUUUAUAUUAAGGAUAUUGAUGUCGAUGAAUUUGGU